rnacentral:rRNA from 1 species
CCAAAAAUCUAGCCCAACCAAAACGUUUUAUUUUUUUCAUAAAGCUAAAAUAUUUUUUUAUCUAGUAAUGAUGAACAAAAAAUUAAUUGGAGCAAUAAAUAUGUACCGCAAGGGAUUGAUGAAAUAAUAAUGAAAUAAUAUUUAAGCACAAAAAAGUAGAGAUUUUUCCUCGUACCUUUUGCAUCAUGGUUUAACUAGUCUAAUCAAGCAAAAAGACUUAUAGUUUGACUUCCCGAAACUAAGUGAGCUACUUUAAGACAGCUUAACGAGCAAACCCGUCUCUGUUGCAAAAGAGUGGAAAGAUCUUAAAGUAGAAGUGAUAUACCUAACGAACUUAGCUAUAGCUGGUUAUUCAAGAAAAGAAUCUUAGUUCAACCUAAUGUUAUAUUAAUUUAUCAAAAUAUAAAUUUAACAAUAGAGUUACUCAAAUAAGUCACAGCCUAUUUGAGAUAGGAUACAGCCUCAACUUUUGGGUAACAAUUAUGCAAAUACUUAUUCAAGUAGGCCUAAGAGCAGCCACCUUCUAAAAAGCGUCAAAGCUUAGUUACUUUAUACAUUUUAAUUCUUUUUACAUUUAAGAACCCAAUAUUAAUACUGAAUAAUUCUAUAUUUUUAUAGAACUAAUAAUGUUAAAACUAGUAACAAGAAGUCUUCUUCUCUAUUAUGUAAGUAUAAAUCAGAACGGAAAACCCACUGAUAAUUAACAGCUUUAAUUUUAAGUAUUACCCUAACAAGAAAAACUUACCUUAUUAUCUGUUAACCUAACACAAGAACAUCAAAAGAAAGAUUUAAAGAAAAAGAAGGAACUCGGCAAAUAUCGAUUCCGCCUGUUUACCAAAAACAUCGCCUCCUGAAUAUAUAGGAGGUCCAGCCUGCCCAGUGACCUAGUUUAACGGCCGCGGUAUCCUAACCGUGCGAAGGUAGCGUAAUCACCUGUUUUUUAAUUGAAGACCAGUAUGAAAGGCAUCACGAGAAUCACACUGUCUCCUUUCUCUAAUCAGUGAAACUAAUCUUUCCGUGAAAAAGCGGAAAUAUCUAUGCAAGACGAGAAGACCCUUUGGAGCUUAAGAUAAAAUAUAUAUGCUAAUUUUAUUAAUUUAAAAGCAUUUUAUUAAAAAUCUUUGGUUGGGGCAACCGCGGAGUAAAAAAAAACCUCCAAGAUGAAUGAAUUUUUUCUAAACAAAAAGCCACAACUUUAUGUAUCAAUAAAUUGACAUUACUGACCCAAUAUUUUGAUUAAUGAACCAAGUUACCCUAGGGAUAACAGCGCAAUCCACUUCAAAAGUUCAUAUCGACAAGUGGGCUUACGACCUCGAUGUUGGAUCAAGGUAUCCAAGUGGUGCAGCAGCUACUAAAGGUUCGUUUGUUCAACGAUUAAAACCUUACGUGAUCUGAGUUCAGACCGGAGCAAUCCAGGUCAGUUUCUAUCUGCAAAGAGCUAUUUCCAGUACGAAAGGACAGAAAUAACGUGGCCAAUGAAAUAUUUAUGCCAUCAAAAAACUUAUGCUUCAUCACUCAACAAGUCAUGCCUCUUAUUUCACUCAACAAAA